rnacentral:tRNA from 1 species
GGAGGAUGGCUAGUGGUAGAGUGCAUGCUUAGCAUGCACAAGGUCCUGGGUUCAAACCCCAGUACCUCCA